rnacentral:rRNA from 1 species
UUUAAACAUGAGAGUUUGAUCUUGGCUCAGGACGAACGCUGGCGGCAUGCCUAAUACAUGCAAGUCGAACGAUGACGUCACUGCUUGCAGUGACUGAUUAGUGGCGAACGGGUGAGUAACACGUGAGGAACUUGCCCAUGAGCGGGGGACAACAUUCGGAAACGGAUGCUAAUACCCCAUAGGUGGAUUGGUCGCAUGACGAAUUCAUUAAAGGUGGCUUUGCUACCACUCAUGGAUAGCCUCGCGGCGUAUUAGCUAGUUGGUAAGGUAAUGGCUUACCAAGGCAGUGAUACGUAGCCGACUUGAGAGGGUGAUCGGCCACACUGGGACUGAGACACGGCCCAGACUCCUACGGGAG